rnacentral:tRNA from 1 species
GGGGAUAUAGCUCAGUGGGUAGAGUGCUUGCCUCUCUUGCACAAGGCCUGUGGUUCAAUCCUCAGCAUCACCA